GCCCAGGUCGCAUAAUCUGGUAUUGCGCCGGUCUUGAAAACCGGUUCCUCACGGAAUUGCUGGUUCAAAUCCGGCCCUGGGCG
rnacentral:tRNA from 1 species